GCGCGGUAUCGGGGGAUGCAAGCGUUAUCCGGAAUCAUUGGGCGUAAAGCGUCUGUAGGUUGUUUCAUAAGUCUGUUGUUAAAGACUAGGGCUCAACCCUAGAAAAGCAAUGGAAACUACUAGACUUGAGUAUGGCAGGGGUAGAGGGAAUUUCUAGUGUAGCGGUGAAAUGCGUAGAUAUUAGAAAGAACACCAGCGGCGAAAGCGCUCUACUGGACCAUUACUGACACUCAGAGACGAAAGCUAGGGUAGCAAAAGGGAUUAGAUACCCCUGUAGUCCUAGCCGUAAACGAUGGAUACUAGAUGUUGUGUUUAAUAUGCAGUAUCGUAGCUAACGCGUUAAGUAUCCCGCCUGGGGAGUACGCUCGCAAGGGUGAAACUCAAAGGAAUUGACGGGGGCCCGCACAAGCGGUGGAGCAUGUGGUUUAAUUCGAUGCAACGCGAAGAACCUUACCAGGACUUGACAUACUACAAAUUUCUUUGAAAAAAGGAAGUGCCUUCGGGAAUGUAGAUACAGGUGGUGCAUGGCUGUCGUCAGCUCGUGUCGUGAGAUGUUGGGUUAAGUCCCGCAACGAGCGCAACCCUUAUUUUGAGUUAGCUUUUCUAAGAAUACUGCCGGUAACAAACCGGAGGAAGGUGAGGAUGACGUCAAGUCAGCAUGCCCCUAAUGUCCUGGGCUACACCGCGUGCUACAAUUGGGUAAGAACAAUAAGCUUGAAUCUCGUAGAGAGUAGAUAAUCU
rnacentral:rRNA from 1 species